UACGAAGGGGGCUAGCGUUGCUCGGAAUUACUGGGCGUAAAGGGCGCGUAGGCGGCCUGUUAAGUCGAACGUGAAAUCCCCGGGCUCAACCCGGGAACUGCGUCCGAUACUGGCAGGCUUGAAUUCGGGAGAGGGAUGUGGAAUUCCACGUGUAGCAGUGAAAUGCGUAGAGAUGUGGAGGAACACCGAUGGCGAAGGCAGCCCCCCUGGGCCAAUACUGACGCCUCAUGCACGAAAGCGUGGGGAGCAAACAGG
rnacentral:rRNA from 1 species